GACGAACGCUGGCGGCGUGCUUAACACAUGCAAGUCGAACGGAAAGGCCCUGCUUUUGUGGGGUGCUCGAUUGGCGAACGGGUGAGUAACACGUGAGUAACUUGCCCUUGACUUUGGGAUAACUUCAGGAAACUGGGGCUAAUACCGGAUAGGAUCUCCUGCUGCAUGGUGUGGGUUGGAAAGUUUCGGCGGUUGGGGAUGGAUUCGCUGCUUAUCAGCUUGUUGGUGGGGUAGUGGCUUACCAAGGCUUUGACGGGUAGCCGGCCUGGGAGGGUGACCGGCGACAUUGGGACUGAGAUACGGCCCAGACUCCUACGGGAGGCAGCAGUGGGGAAUAUUGCACAAUGGGCGGAAGCCUGAUGCAGAAACGCCGCGUGCGGGAUGAUGGCCUUCGGGUUGUAAACCGCUUUCGACUGUGACGAAGCGUGAGUGACGGUAAUGGGUAAAGAAGCACCGGCUAACUACGUG
rnacentral:rRNA from 1 species